UCAGCCUUCCUAUUCAAUAAUGCUUCCGUUUCUAAUCUAUUCACCUCCUUCAAUCAAGUUUCAAUUCAUGUCCAGUUUAUGCAUAUAGAGAGACAAUCUGGAAUAAAUCUCCAGAACUGGCGAGGAGAGGAAGGGUGCGAGGAGAGGAAGGGAUUUAACGGUGCCCUUUGUUUCUUUCUGGAUCUGUAAGCGAUACAAACCCUAUCUCAGAAUGAUGAAUUGAUGAGGAAGCGAACGUAUGAAGGGGAGUCCGGCUCCGAUUCCGAUUCCACCAAUACCGAUUUUGUCGCCGCCCUUGAAAACGACCUCAAUAUAUUUGAAAAGUAAUCCAAGACCUGGAUUGGCAUGUAUAUUCAUCGCCAGAUACUCAACACCAGCGGGGUGGUGUUCCGGUUAGUCGUACUUGACACGACAAUGUGGCAAUGGAAGAUUUGGGGAUUUAGGGUUCAUGAAGAAAAACGGUGAAAUGAUGCAGAUGUAGAUGAGACCUUGUUUGGAUGAAUUGAAAAGCUUUUUCUUCGAAUGAACACUCCAAGGAUGAAGCAUGGGGAGUUGGAAAACUGAGGCAUAAGAGGGUUGCGAAUUUGAUCGGAUCUUGCUGUGAUGGGGAUGAAAGGCUGCUUGUUGCAGAUAUGCCUAAUGAUACUUUAGCCAAACAUUUAUUUCACUGUUCCGCCUAAAAUUGGACCGUCAUCGUCGACGCCUACCUUCAUUUACCUCGUGAACUGUAAUGUCGACUAGGGCCCUGAUGUUUUCUUUAUACCAAUUAGGAGCUAAAUUAUAUGAAUGCAACUCACAUAAAACCUAGGCAACAACUCUCAAAAUCGAUGUUUUCUUUAUACCAAUUCAAAAGGCCUCGACUUUGUUGUUCGCUUAGGGCCUCCAAAAACGUUGGAACGGCCCUGCUCGAUCCCGAUAAGUGAAGCUAAGUUGUGUCCAGGUCUACCAGCAAUCUAUUUCAGCAGCCUGCAUCCAAGACUUGCCUCGAGAAAGGAUGCUUGUAGUCUUGUACAUGUGCUAGAUGAUUCGUGAUACAACUAUUCACACCCUUAUCAAGGCAGAAUGAUUUCAAAUUUUAGACUAUCUUUUAGCUUAUUGUUCCAAUCAAUUAUGUAGUUUCUUUGAAAUCAAACAUUAUAUGAUGUUAUCUGUUGCAACUAGGCUCAUAUUGGUGAUAAGGGCUUUAUUUGAUGGCUUGAGAUCCCAUAGUGAAACUAAACGGGUAAUCUUGAUGUGUAUUUUUUUUCAUCACAUAUCGUAGACUCCGCCGCAACGCGCG